rnacentral:lncRNA from 1 species
AAUUAAAAAAAAAAACAAUUUAAUCUAUUAAAAAAUGGAGGAAAAACAUAAAUACUUCAUGAUUAUGAUAAUCAGUAACGAAAGAGAGGAUAGAUACACAUGCGAAAGUCAAUAAAUUGUGAAAAAUCCUCGAUACACUUGUCUCUCCUAGGAAUUCAUUCUAAUGUAGCACUAAUCAAAACCCAUGAUCGAUGAAGAAUCACAUGCUCCUCUUUCUUCCUUUGAAUCUCAUCAGGGUAGCACAAAAAAAAACCCAUAAAAAUGACCCCGAAAAGAAGGGGGGGGGGGGGGGGGGGGGGGGGGGGGGGGGA